rnacentral:other from 1 species
UUCGCUCGACCCUGUGCGUGGCCCGGCCUUAACGUGAACCAACACUCACGCGAAGGGAGCCGGCGUCGGGGAUAGGCGUUGCCGACGCCCCGCACGGCACCCACCUGGCAGAGCCAGGUUCGCAACGGCCGGACUUCAUCGGCAGGGUGGAGCACCU